rnacentral:rRNA from 1 species
CGGGGUAACGCGACGCAAGAGUGAAACGUCAAGGAAUUGACGGGGCCGCGACAGCGUGGAGCAUGUGGUUAAUCGUAAGCAACGCGAAGAACCUUACCAGGUCUUGACAUCCUCUGACACNCCUAGAGAUAGGACGUUCCCCUUCGGGGGACCAGGAGUGACAGGUGGUGCAUGGUUGUCGUCAGCUCGUGUCGUGAGAUGUUGGGUUAAGUCCCGCAACGAGCGCAACCCUUGAUCUUAGUUGCCAGCAUUCAGUUGGGCACUCUAAGGUGACUGCCGGUGACAAACCGGAGGAAGGUGGGGAUGACGUCAAAUCAUCAUGCCCCUUAUGACCUGGGCUACACACGUGCUACAAUGGACGGUACAAAGGGCAGCAAAACCGCGAGGUCGAGCCAAUCCCAUAAAACCGUUCUCAGUUCGGAUUGCAGGCUGCAACUCGCCUGCAUGAAGCCGGAAUCGCUAGUAAUCGCGGAUCAGCAUGCCGCGGUGAAUACGUUCCCGGGCCUUGUACCACACCGUCGACGUCGGCCG